CUACGGGUCGCAGCAGUGAGGAAUAUUGCACAAUGGGGGAAACCCUGAUGCAGCAACGCCGCGUGGAGGAUGACGCAUUUCGGUGUGUAAACUCCUUUUAUCAGAGAAGAAAAUGACGGUAUCUGAUGAAUAAGCUCCGGCUAACUCCGUGCCAGCAGCCGCGGUAAUACGGAGGGAGCAAGCGUUAUUCGGAAUCACUGGGCGUAAAGGACGCGUAGGCGGGUUUUUAAGUCAGGUGUGAAAUCCUAUGGCUCAACCAUAGAACUGCACUUGAAACUGGGGACCUAGAGUAUGGAAGGGGCGGGUGGAAUUAGUGGUGUAGGGGUAAAAUCCGUAGAUAUCACUAGGAAUACCGAAAGCGAAGGCGACCUGCUGGGACAUUACUGACGCUGAGGCGUGAAAGCGUGGGGAGCAAACAGGGUUAGAUACCCCGGUAGUC
rnacentral:rRNA from 1 species